rnacentral:lncRNA from 1 species
AACAAAAGAAUUUUUUUUUAAUUCACAUAAUUUAUCAUAAUUUUAAAUUGUAGAAAAGAAAAUUGUUCUUAAUUUUUAAGUGUAUGAUACAAAUAAUAAAUACAUUAGUAGAAGUGACACUAAAAUUAUUAUUAAACUAUCAAAUAAUAAAAUUAAAUACAGAAAAUAGAACAAAAUUAUUUACAUAAUAAUAAAAUUGAAAAUAAAUUUAAACGCCCAUAAUCCGCGCGUAGCGCGGAAAACGGACUAGU